CAUCGAGACUCCUACGGGAGGCAGCAGUGGGGAAUAUUGCACAAUGGGCGCAAGCCUGAUGCAGCCAUGCCGCGUGUGUGAAGAAGGCCUUCGGGUUGUAAAGCACUUUCAGUCGUGAGGAAGGUGGUGUAGUUAAUAGCUGCAUCAUUUGACGUUAGCGACAGAAGAAGCACCGGCUAACUCCGUGCCAGCAGCCGCGGUAAUACGGAGGGUGCGAGCGUUAAUCGGAAUUACUGGGCGUAAAGCGCAUGCAGGUGGUUUGUUAAGUCAGAUGUGAAAGCCCCGGGGCUCAACCUCGGAAUAGCAUUUGAAACUGGCAGACUAGAGUACUGUAGAGGGGGUAGAAUUUCAGGUGUAGCGGUGAAAUGCGUAGAGAUCUGAAGGAAUACCGGUGGCGAAGGCGGCCCCCUGGACAGAUACUGACACUCAGAUGCGAAAGCGUGGGGAGCAAACAGGAUUAGAUACCCUGGUAG
rnacentral:rRNA from 1 species